rnacentral:rRNA from 1 species
UACGAAGGGAGCUAGCGUUGUUCGGAAUUACUGGGCGUAAAGCGCGCGCAGGCGGUCUUCCAAGUCAGUGGUGAAAGCCCGGAGCUCAACUCCGGAACUGCCAUUGAAACUGUUGGACUUGAGGAUGAGAGAGGUGAGUGGAAUUCCCAGUGUAGAGGUGAAAUUCGUAGAUAUCGGGAGGAACACCUGUGGCGAAAGCGGCUCACUGGACCACAACUGACGCUGAGGCGCGAAAGCUAGGGGAGCAAACAGG